rnacentral:rRNA from 1 species
UACGGGGGGGGGCAAGCGUUGUUCGGAAUUACUGGGCGUAAAGGGCUCGUAGGUGGCCAACUAAGUCAGACGUGAAAUCCCUCGGCUUAACCGGGGAACUGCGUCUGAUACUGGAUGGCUUGAGUUUGGGAGAGGGAUGCGGAAUUCCAGGUGUAGCGGUGAAAUGCGUAGAUAUCCGGAGGAACACCGGUGGCGAAGGCGGCUUCCUGGACCGACACUGACGCUGAGGCGCGAAAGCUAGGGGAGCGAACGGG